ACGGAAGGCAGUAGUGGGGAAUAUUGGGCAAUGGGCGAAAGCCUGACCCAGCGACGCCGCGUGAGGGAAGACGAUCCUCGGAUUGUAAACCUCUUUUAUAGGGGACGAUAGUGACGGUACCUUAUGAAUAAGCCACGGCUAACUACGUGCCAGCAGCCGCGGUAAUACGUAGGUGGCGAGCGUUAUCCGGAUUUACUGGGUGUAAAGGGUGUGUAGGCGGGACUGCAAGUCAGAUGUGAAAAUCAUGGGCUCAACUCAUGACCUGCAUUUGAAACUGUGGUUCUUGAGGGUCGGAGAGGUAACUGGAAUUCCUGGUGUAGCGGUGAAAUGCGUAGAUAUCAGGAGGAACACCGGUGGCGAAGGCGGGUUACUGGACGAUUACUGACGCUGAGACACGAAAGCGUGGGGAGCAAACAGGAUUAGAUACCCUGGUA
rnacentral:rRNA from 1 species